rnacentral:rRNA from 1 species
UACGUAGGGGGCGAGCGUUGUUCGGAUUUACUGGGCGUAAAGGGCGCGCAGGCGGCUCAUUUUGUCAGGCGUGAAAGCCCCGGGCUUAACCUGGGAACUGCGUUUGAUACGGGUGGGCUAGAGUUCGGGAGAGGAGAGUGGAAUUCCCAGUGUAGAGGUGAAAUUCGUAGAUAUUGGGAAGAACACCGGUGGCGAAGGCGGCUCUCUGGACCGAUACUGACGCUGAGGCGCGAAAGCGUGGGGAGCAAACAGG